UACAGAGGUCUCAAGCGUUGUUCGGAUUCAUUGGGCGUAAAGGGUGCGUAGGCGGCGCGGUAAGUCGGGUGUGAAAUCUUGGAGCUUAACUCCGAAACUGCAUUCGAUACUGCCGUGCUUGAGGACUGGAGAGGAGACUGGAAUUUACGGUGUAGCGGUGAAAUGCGUAGAUAUCGUAAGGAAGACCAGUGGCGAAGGCGGGUCUCUGGACAGUUCCUGGCGCUGAGGCACGAAGGCCAGGGGAGCAAACGGG
rnacentral:rRNA from 1 species